rnacentral:rRNA from 1 species
UACGGAAGGUCCGGGCGUUAUCCGGAUUUACUGGGUGUAAAGGGAGCGUAGACGGUUUAGCAAGUCUGAUGUGAAAGCCCGGGGCUCAACCGCGGGACUGCAUUGGAAACUGUUAGACUUGAGUGCAGGAGAGGUAAGUGGAAUUCCUAGUGUAGCGGUGAAAUGCGUAGAUAUUAGGAGGAACACCGGUGGCGAAGGCGGCUUACUGGACUGUAACUGACGUUGAGGCUCGAAAGCGUGGGGAGCAAAC